GCCCGCUGAUGAGAUCAUGGCAAGUUUUAUGAUCCAGCCAGACCAAGCGAUUGUGGUUUCUAGCCUGCUGUUAGGUGGGUAGUCUUGGUAGUGUGAUGGAGUUUUAUUGCACUGCUGUAAGGGCCCAUCCACAGUUAACUCGUCACCUUCUACAACCUCUGCCCCCCAAGAGCAAUGGGGCGGCAUGGGUAGGAGAUGUCAGACAAUGUGCAGAAGUUUGUCUUUGUGUGUGUGUUUGUUGUUGUUGUAUGAAUGUAUAUGUAUCAGCUGGCAAGAGGCUAUAGUCUCAAUGUGGAUGGUUUGGGACGUAUGAACUACUCUUUGGUAAUCUGAGGGCA